AGCACUUGUACAUGUUCAACUGUCAGACAAAGACAAGGAAGGCAGAUGCAAAAUAAAUCCUCCCUUGAAACCCAAACUCAUUGUUCAGUAUGAAUUUUGAUACACACAAGAAGGGAUAUG